rnacentral:rRNA from 1 species
GAUGAACGCUGGCGGCGUGCUUAACACAUGCAAGUCGAGCGAAGCACCUUGACGGAUUUCUUCGGAUUGAAGCCUUGGUGACUGAGCGGCGGACGGGUGAGUAACGCGUGGGUAACCUGCCUCAUACAGGGGGAUAACAGUUGGAAACGGCUGCUAAUACCGCAUAAGCGCACAGUACCGCAUGGUACGGUGUGAAAAACUCCGGUGGUAUGAGAUGGACCCGCGUCUGAUUAGGUAGUUGGUGGGGUAACGGCCUACCAAGCCGACGAUCAGUAGCCGACCUGAGAGGGUGACCGGCCACAUUGGGACUGAGACACGGCCCAAACUCCUACGGGAGGCAGCAGUGGGGAAUAUUGCACAAUGGGGGAAACCCUGAUGCAGCGACGCCGCGUGAGCGAUGAAGUAUUUCGGUAUGUAAAGCUCUAUCAGCAGGGAAGAAAAUGACGGUACCUGACUAAGAAGCCCCGGCUAACU